GGGUGUUGCACAAUGAAGCCUUUGAGCAACAAUGGUUGAGCAACUCAUGUCACAUACUCCAUAUGAUGUAACACCAUGAGCAGCCUUUAUAAGUGCCCUGAGGGCAGAGAUGAGGAGCGAUGGGCUAUAUGUUCCUGAAUGCUAUCUUGAGCGGCGCAGUAUGAGCAUACCACUAACCUCUGGGCCUCAAAACAAAGGACAGGCUGAUGACAAGUGCUUGCCAGGGAGAAACCAUCUCCUCCAGGAUAACGAGCAUCCUACCGCCCAACCCCAGGAUGUGACUCAGCAGCAGCUGUUGCCAUGGGUUACGAGGCAGGACAACUGUAGGAUCCCAACAAGCUUGGUGCCGCCCCCCUCCCUCCACCUUAAAUCCUCCACCACUUUCUCUGGGAGGCUCUGCAGCAGGCCUGUGUGGAGCCACGCAGCAUUCAGAGGGGAGGCAAAGGGAGGGAGGAGUGGGAGAGGGGAGGUGCUAAUCCCAUCUGAGCGAGGACCUGCGAGGUUUUGGCCUCGCCUCCCCGCACUACCCUACUAACCUCCACGUUUACCCCCUCCUCCUCGAUGCAGAUUAAUGCCUUAUUAAGAGCAACUGACUUAACACCAAUCCACUUACACUCACAUGUAAGAUUUGCAGACUAUUACGUGGACUGAGAUCAAUCACAAAAUCAGCAAUGGAAGAAACAGCCAUGUACUCUGAUUGUGUCUGAUUUAUUCUGAAUGUGGCAUCACAGGAGACAACACAUACUACACCUGAGAUCCGUCUUUACUCGCUCAAAGUGUCGAUUCAUGUGAUCACACUCCUGGCUGUUCAUCACUACACCCAUGCAGACCAAACCUUCCUCUGAAGCCCAGUCGCAUUUCAAUUGAAUAAAAGUACAAAACGUGUGGAUACUUUAAAUGCAUGCCAUUUACAGGAAAUGUCACCGAUGUCAUGCUAAUGACAUUAAGGCUUUGGAGGCGGUGGCUAAUUUAGGACGAAGGCAGUUUAGGACCAAGGGCUGAGUAAAUCUCCUGCAGAGGCUACGCCCUAUUCUGGGUCACCAUCCCAUAAGCCACUGCUCACCAAUGCAUCAAAACAGCUAACAGGUACAUGAACAAUGUUAGAGAUACACCUCUGAUCCUCUUUUAUUUCUGCUUUUUGCUUCACGUUCUUGAGUGAAGCAAGAAAACAUGCUCCAAUAAAAUGCAUUUAUAUCACAUUAAAUGAGUCCUUAAUGCCUUUAGCUUAGCUUAGGAAAGCCUGAAAUGAUCAAAGCCUUAAUAGGCAGUGUCUCCUUCCUGGAUUGCAGGAUAAUUUCCCUCUAUAGUUUGUGUCUUUUAGCAGUAAUCGCUGGCUUUAAAGUGAGUGUUGUGCUGACUGUGGUGUUCACAGCUUCUUCUAGAGAGAACCUCCAUGACAGGUGGUUUAACAACCUUUCAUUUCCCGUUGUCUCUCUCUUAUUUUACACACACACACACACACACACACACACACAAAAUUCAUCUCCUGUGCUGGUAAAUCCCUGCGAGGCUCGCUGAGGAGACGUUUAAGCCUUUCAAUAAGAGUACAGCCUCAUCCCUUAAGUAAUGCUAGAGGAUUGUUUGGUAUCUUGAGCGUAAGGUAGUGUGAAAAGUGGGUUAGACUAAGACGAGCGGUGCAACUGUUAGCUUAACAAUAUUCAGUUAGCAAGUGUAAAAUGAGGCUAGCGCCAGUGUGAGGAUUGUGCAGCAGUGUGGAUAAAGGCUAAGGAAACACUGCAGUACACUUCUUUAGUAACAAAUUCUUUUUUAUUACAACAUUUCACGGUUUUCCAUUUCUGGUAAUGGUUUGUGGCAGAGUAACAUGACUGCUGGGACUUUUACAAAACUCCAAAGAAUUUUGAUCUACGGUCGAAAGCAAACACAUGGAAUUAAUUGCCAAUAUUUUCUUUUCCUCAUUUGAGACAAUUCAGAGACAGAUUGCAACACAAAAGCUAUCCUGAAUAACUCUGACAGAAGGACAAAAGUAUGUUACAAUUUAACCGUAAAUAAGGUCCAUUUGAGCAUCUCCCAGAUCAAGAUGGAAUCAGUUACACUUUUUUGUUUUAAUCCUCGUGUACAUAUAAAAGAAAAACGUUGUGACAGACAACAGUAUCAAUUUUUGGGGCAUUUACAUUUUGGCCAGCGUACAAACAAUGUUGUGCAUUUCCGAAAAUUAGAAGACGAAAAACAAUAAAAACAACAAAAAAAUAAAAGCCUGACGCCUCAGCUUUGGCGCAAAAGCAGCCACACAGGAAGUUGGGUGUUGGUAGUUUGAUUUUUUUCGGGGAGACGAUGAUGAAGCUUCCUGGGGACGCACACCACGCCCCGCCCCGUCCCUCGGGCCCUCGCCAUUGUUGGUAGCACAGGUGGUCUCAUCCGUCUUUUUUGGACUAUCUUCUUGCAGGCCCCCCACCCCUCUGCUCCACCUUCAAGACAAAUCUUCCUCAUCUAACCCCGGCAGCGAGAGGGUGGCGU